AGCGACUACUUUCACGAAAUGACGAAAUGUAAUAUAUUAACCGCGAAUAUUGGUAAUUAACAAUGGUUGGCUAUAUAAAUAUUUUUCACUAUAAUUGCUUGGCACUGGUGUGUGCGAGAACUGCCCC
rnacentral:lncRNA from 1 species